rnacentral:rRNA from 1 species
AUUGAACGCUGGCGGAAUGCUUUACACAUGCAAGUCGAACGGCAGCACGGACUUCGGUCUGGUGGCGAGUGGCGAACGGGUGAGUAAUGUAUCGGAACGUGCCCAGUCGUGGGGGAUAACGUAGUGAAAAUUACGCUAAUACCGCAUACGAUCUAUGGAUGAAAGCGGGGGAUCGCAAGACCUCGCGCGAUUGGAGCGGCCGAUAUCAGAUUAGGUAGUUGGUGGGGUAAAGGCCCACCAAGCCAACGAUCUGUAGCUGGUCUGAGAGGACGACCGGCCACACUGGAACGUAGGCACGGCCCAGACUCCUACGGGGGGCAGCAGUGGGGAGUUUUGGACAAUGGGCGAAAGCCUGAUCCAGCCAUUCCGCGUGCAGGAUGAAGGCCCUCGGGUUGUAAACUGCUUUUGUACAGAACGAAAAGGUUUCUACUAAUACUAGGAGCUCAUGACGGUACUGUAAGAAUAAGCACCGGCUAACUACGUGCCAGCCGCCGCCGUAA